rnacentral:rRNA from 1 species
CAGUAGCCGCGGGAAAACGUAGGGUGCGAGCGUUAAUCGGAAUUACUGGGCGUAAAGCGUGCGCAGGCGGUUGUGUAAGACAGGUGUGAAAUCCCCGGGCUUAACCUGGGAACUGCGCUUGUGACUGCACAGCUAGAGUAUGGCAGAGGGGGGUGGAAUUCCACGUGUAGCAGUGAAAUGCGUAGAGAUGUGGAAGAACACCGAUGGCGAAGGCAGCCCCCUGGGCCAAUACUGACGCUCAUGCACGAAAGCGUGGGGAGCAAACAAGAUUAGAUACCCCGGUAGUCCCUGUCUCUUAUAC